rnacentral:rRNA from 1 species
AGUAAAUAGAUACCCUGGUAGUCCACGCCGUAAACGAUGUCGACUUGGAGGUUGUGCCCUUGAGGCGUGGCUUCCGGAGCUAAACGCGUUAAGUCGACCGCCUGGGGAGUACGGCCGCAAGGUUAAAACUCAAAUGAAUUGACGGGGGCCCGCACAAGCGGUGGAGCAUGUGGUUUAAUUCGAUGCAACGCGAAGAACCUUACCUACUCUUGACAUCCAGAGAACUUAGCAGAGAUGCUUUGGUGCCUUCGGGAACUCUGAGACAGGUGCUGCAUGGCUGUCGUCAGCUCGUGUUGUGAAAUGUUGGGUUAAGUCCCGCAACGAGCGCAACCCUUAUCCUUUGUUGCCAGCGGUUCGGCCGGGAACUCAAAGGAGACUGCCAGUGAUAAACUGGAGGAAGGUGGGGAUGACGCCAAGUCAUCAUGGCCCUUACGAGUAGGGCUACACACGUGCUACAAUGGCGCAUACAAAGAGAAGCGACCUCGCGAGAGCAAGCGGACCUCAUAAAGUGCGUCGUAGUCCGG